UUUUGCAUGGUAAAAUUGUACACUGUGUAUGCCUGUAAGAAGCAAAGCCACCUACUCUAAUUUUUCCCAGCUCGAUGCUGUGAAUUUGACCUCUGACUAUGUGAAGAUACGGUGGGAAGAUGACUGACCGCAAGACAGGAAGAGAGCCCUCACCGAGGAACCAAAUUGGCCAGUAUCUUGAUUUUGGAUUUCUCAACCUCAAGAACCAUGAGAAAUGAAUGUCUGCUGUUCAAGCCACCCAGUCAAUGGUAUUUUGUUAUGGCAGCCCCAGCUGACCAAGAGAGCGCAUAUGAAUUUAAUGAGCAUUGAGAAAAGCUAAUGUUUUUCAUUUUUUCCCUUAGAAGCAUCUAUCGAUCUUCAUUUGAAAUUAUGUGUCAGAAACUGCAAUAAUAGAAGUAAAGAGAAUGGGCUAGGUAAUGUAAGAAUAGGGCUAAGGUUAUGUAAGUGAGGGAGAGUUUCGAGAGAGGAAUUUCAGUAGCCUUUAAAAUUUUAAAUAAAAUACGCUCUAUAAACCAAAUGCAUUAGUUAAGGAG
rnacentral:lncRNA from 10 species